rnacentral:rRNA from 1 species
AUGUUUGCUGCCCAGUCCAGGUCACGUGCCAACAACUGCCGCACCGCCCUCUCCAAUGCCCAAAAGGGCUCUCAAUCUGCUGCUGCUUACUUCGAUCAGAUGCGUGCACUCGCAGAUGAACUGGCCAUGGCUGGAAAGCCUCUUCUCGAGGGAGAGCUGAUCUACUUCCUCAUUGCUGGCCUUGAUAUGGACUACCAACCCCUCAUAUCUGCUCUUGACGUCUGCACUGAGCCCCUCUCUGUCGAUGAUCUAUUCGGCAUGGUGUCGAACUUCGAUCAAAGAGUGGAGAUGUUCCACGGCUCUAGAUCGGGCGCCUUCAAGUCGUCUGGAAACGCCGCUGCUCGAGGACGUGGUGGCCCUCCUAAGGGUAACCACGGCUUCCCCAAGGGUGGCGGCAACAACGGCAGCAGCAACGGCGGCUUCAAAAACGACGGCAACAACGCCGGCAACAACGGCGGCUACCGCAGCAGCGGUGGCGGCCAUGGAAACAGCGGUGGCAGUGGCUACCGUGGCGGCGGUGGCGGCAACCACAACAACUACAGCAACAAUCAUCGUGGCGGUGGCGGCUACUACAACAACAACGGCCAGCCGCGCCCCUACUACAACAACAACCAAAGUCGUCACUUUGCCGGGUAUGAGGAAUAUGUGAACAAAUGUCAGAUUUGCAAAAAAAAAAAAACUAACCACAUCGCAAAAGAAUGCAAAUGGCGCUAUGCAGAGGAUAAAUCCCAUAGGAAAUGA